rnacentral:ncRNA from 1 species
UUGCGGUUAAAAGCUCGUAGUCGGAUCUGUGUCUGGACGGUGCCGGACCACCCUGGCGGUCCGUCGUGUCGCGGCCGGCCGUGUCGCGGGACCACGUGUCCCGUCGGCGCGGUCGCCGUCGCGCUCGUCAGCCGUCUCGGGGUGUUAGUUACCGGCACGUCGGCCGGACGUAUUGUCGGCAGGCGGACACGUGUCUCGUGCUUCCGGCGCGCCGCGCGGCCACGCGUCGCGCGGCCGUCGGUGUUCGACGACGGCGGCCGCCUACUCCAAUCUUGCUGCGCGGUGCUCUUCACCGAGUGCCGUCGGCGGGCCGACACGUUUACUUUGAACAAAUUAGAGUGCUCAAAGCAGGCUCGAAUCUGGCGGGGCGGCUUCACGGCCGUCUCGUCAAAAGGCCCUGAAUACUGGUCGCAUGGAAUAAUGGAACAAGACCUCGGUCCCGCGCAUCUCCGCCCUUCGCGGGCGCGCGAAAUCGCCCUCCGGGGCGUUUCCGUGCGCGGGCCGCCGGGCCGCGGGCGCCAGUCGCCCGCGCGUCCCGCCGGGCCGGUUUUCGGGACCGGAGGUAAUGAUCAACAGAGACGGGCGGGGGCAUUCGUACCGAGACGUUAGAGGUGAAAUUCUUGGAUCGUCUCGAGACGAACUGACGCGAAAGCAUUUGCCAAGUACGUUCUCGUAUGAUCAAGAACGAAAGUUAGAGGUUCGAAGGCGAUCAGAUACCGCCCUAGUUCUAACUGUAAACGAUGCCAGCUAGCGAUCCGCCGGCGUUUCAUUAACGACCCGGCGGGCAGCUUCCGGGAAACCGAAGCUUUUCGGUUCCGGGGGAAGUAUGAUUGCAAAGUUGAAACUUAAAGGAAUUGACGGAAUGGCACCACCAGGAGUGGAGCCUGCGGCUUAAUUUGACUCAACACGGGAAACCUCACCAGGCCCGGACACCGGAAAGAUUGACAGAUUGAGAGCUCUUUCUUGAUUCGGUGGGUGGUGGGUGCAUG